CCUACGGUGGGCAGCAGUGGGGAAUAUUGGGCAAUGGGCGCAAGCCUGAACCAGCCACGCCGCGUGAAGGAAGAAGGCUUUAGGGUUGUAAACUUCUUUUCUCAGGGACGAAGCAAGUGACGGUACCUGAGGAAUAAGCCACGGCUAACUACGUGCCAGCAGCCGCGGUAAUACGUGGGUGGAAAGCGUUACCCGGAUUUAAUGGGUGUAAAGGGCGGGUAGGCUUGACUGUAAGUCAGAUGGGAAAACCACGGGCGCAACCUGUGGCCUGUAGUUGAAAAUGUAGUUCUUGAGUACUGGAGAGGCAGGCGGAAUUCCUAGUGUAGCGGUGAAAUGCGUAGAUAUUAGGAGGAACACCAGUGGCGAAGGCGGUCUGCUGGACAGCAACUGACGCUGAGGCGCGAAAGCGUGGGGAGCAAACAGGAUUAGAUACCCGAGUAGUC
rnacentral:rRNA from 1 species